AGGGGGGGGUUGGAAGGUGGGCCAAGGGACAGGGAAUAGGGACAUCAAAGGGGUAUAGUGAGUGUAGAUUGCAAAAAGAUAUGAACGUGAAUUUGCUUAUUUCUGGUGAAGUUCUUUUGUUUUUGUUAUAUAACUUGUAUAUACUGUAAUGUGAGAAGCUGACAGUUGGUUUGUCAGUAGUGUGAGAAGCUGACAGUUGGUUUGUCAGUAGUGUGUUGUACCUGUGAGUUUUCAUCGGCGUCUUUUGAGUGGUCAACAGCAAGCCAAGUUGUGCCAGAUAAGGAUGGUUUAACUCUUAUUUUGUCGUCGUGUUUCGGGUAUUAUUUGAUUUUUCUCUUUUGGUGCCAUUUCUACCCUCAGCUCGGCCAAUUGUCACUUGAUAAGAAUGUUUUUUUUUAAUGUGGAAAAUAAAUUGUAUCUUACUGUUUUUUAUGCUGUCAGGCUACUGUAGAAAAUGGUUCCUGAAAUGUGCUUGCUUCAAAUGGCAAACGUCAAGAAACUGAUUAUUGUACUUUUGCUCCAUCAUGGUUCCAUUGUGUUGGAAUGUCUGCUUAGUUCUCAGUGGCUUUUUAUAUGACUUUUUUUAUUCGUUUUGAGUUAUAUCAUCCUGGGUUUGUCAGUGGGGUCCGGUUAGGCGCUUAUCUUUGGUGCUUGAUAACCAUUAUCACCUUCCAUCCUCAACCUCAAAACAAGGAGGCUGUCCAAGAAGGGUGCUAGCCUACCUAUUGAGCAGUACAGGGGGAUUUGGAACAAUGCUACAUGUUCAAUCUUGAACGUAACCUUGCUAUAUCAUUUCUAUCACAGUGAAUGUAGGCAAUUUAGCGGUGCAUUGUUAACUCAAAUGUACUAAAACGAUUGUCAAAAAAAAAAAAAGGCACAUUUGUGCCACACAUUUAUGAAAAAGUCAUAUUCCACAUACAUUUCAGUGCAUAGUAAUGCCUAAACAACUUCCUUGCAAACAUGACAUGAUGAUUUGACUCAAUACAGUUUAUGACAAAAUACUUCCCAUGCAAAGAUGUAGGUUGCUUGUGGUUGGUUGGCCUUACCUCUUACAUACUGACAUUUUAGGUUUAUUUGUCAUGAGCCGUCAGUGAUGCUAAGCACAGGUUACAGUUAUGACCCUAGGUUACGGUUAUGACCACAGGUUACGGUUAUGACCAUAGGUUACGGUUAUGACCAUAGGUUACGGUUAUGACCACAGGUUACGGUUAUGACCACAGGUUACAGUUAUGACACCAUGAAGUAGACAUGACGCACAGACAAAGUUAAGUAAAGCUUGCUACGUGCACCUGUGUGGAAGACCAUGUAAUGCCAACAUAUUCAACAUGAACAGUAUUCAACCUCAAUGUAUGCAUGACUACAUGAAUACAUGAAAAAAAAAAAAAAACGUUUUAUUGUGAAUAAUAAUUUGCCAUUACAUCCAGUUAAUGAUUGUACUUUUAACUUUUCCAUCAGAGGUCAUUUUUGUGAGAAACAACUUUUUUCUACCUAAUUUCUAGCACUGCAUAUGAUUGUUUUGAAAUACUUUGUCUGAGACUGUGGUUCAUGGUUUGGUAGCAGUUUGGAUUUGGAUUUAUUUAUAUUUUCCUAGAAGAAUAUUAUUAGACAACCACUGUGUUGUCUACCACUAAAACGUUAAAAAUUUUGGGGCUCCAUGGCUCAAUGCGCCUUGAUUUGAUGCCUGUUUUCUUAUAUGAAAUGUGGAAAUGGUGUUGAUCUGUACCUUAACUGUUCAUGGGAACAGAGUCUGAUGUUUCUCUUCUUUCCUCUUGGGGCUCUAUUCAAGCUGAAGCGUUACAGAUACCGCUAUAGGAAUGGAAAAGGAAUUUCCGAUUGAGCCGAUGUAUGCAGUGUUUACCAUGAAUGCCGUCUCUGCUAAAGUGGGAACAUUGCCUUCACGCUGUAAAGCUGAACUUCCGCGAUACGGAUCGAAUAGAGCCCCUGGUUUGUAUAUAUAUAAUGUGUUAUUUGACAUUUAUGUACAGUCUUUUUUGUAAUAAACAGCUCACCAAAACAA